rnacentral:rRNA from 1 species
AGCGAACGCUGGCGGCAGGCCUAACACAUGCAAGUCGAACGAACUCUUCGGAGUUAGUGGCGGACGGGUGAGUAACACGUGGGAACGGGCCCUUUGGUACGGAAUAACUCAGGGAAACUUGAGCUAAUACCGUAUGUGCCCUUCGGGGGAAAGAUUUAUCGCCAUUGGAGCGGCCCGCGUCUGAUUAGCUAGUUGGUGAGGUAAAGGCUCACCAAGGCGACGAUCAGUAGCUGGUCUGAGAGGAUGAUCAGCCACAUUGGGACUGAGACACGGCCCAAACUCCUACGGGAGGCAGCAGUGGGGAAUCUUGCGCAAUGGGCGAAAGCCUGACGCAGCCAUGCCGCGUGAAUGAUAAAGGUCUUAGGAUUGUAAAAUUCUUUCACCGGGGACGAUAAUGACGGUACCCGGAGAAGAAGCCCCGGCUAACUUCGUGCCAGCCGCCGCGGUAA